GACGAACGCUGGCGGCGUGCUUAACACAUGCAAGUCGAACGGAAAGGCCCUGCUUUUGUGGGGUGCUCGAGUGGCGAACGGGUGAGUAACACGUGAGUAACCUGCCCUUGACUUUGGGAUAACUUCAGGAAACUGGGGCUAAUACCGGAUAGGAGCUCCUGCUGCAUGGUGGGGGUUGGAAAGUUUCGGCGGUUGGGGAUGGACUCGCGGCUUAUCAGCUUGUUGGUGGGGUAGUGGCUUACCAAGGCUUUGACGGGUAGCCGGCCGGGGAGGGUGACCGGCAAAAUUGGGACUGAGAUACGGCCCAGACUCCUACGGGAGGCAGCAGGGGGGAAUAUUGCAAAAGGGGGGGAAGCCGGAUGCAGCAACGCCGGGGGCGGGAUGACGGCCUUCGGGUGGUAACCCGUUUUCGCCUGUGACGAAGCGUGAGUGACGGUAAUGGGUAAAGAAGCACCGGCUAACUACGUG
rnacentral:rRNA from 1 species